UACGUAGGGAGCAAGCGUUGUUCGGAUUUACUGGGCGUAAAGGGCGCGUAGGCGGCAAAUUAAGUCAGCUGUGAAAUCUCCGAGCUUAACUCGGAACUGUCAGCUGAUACUGAUCUGCUAGAGUGCGGAAGGGGCAAUCGGAAUCCUUGGUGUAGCGGUGAAAUGCGUAGAUAUCAAGAGGAACACCUGAGGUGAAGACGGGUUGCUGGGCCGACACUGACGCUGAGUGCGCGAAAGCCAGGGGAGCAAACGGG
rnacentral:rRNA from 1 species